rnacentral:rRNA from 1 species
CCUAAUCUAUUUAACUAAAAAAAUAAUUUUCAUUAAAUCUAUUUUUGUAUUUUUAAACCACUGAAAAGGAAAUCUUACAAUUUCUUUAGGAAAAAAAUUUACCUUUUGUAUCAGGGGAUUUCAAAAAAUUAUGUUCAUUCAACCCUUCCGAAAAGAAGAGAUCUAAAACAUUUUGUACUUUGUGUUUCAAAACAAAGAAAAAUAAGUUUUAGAGGUGAAAUACCUUCCGCUCCUCUUGAUAUCUGAUUCCUCUUGUUCGUUUUCAGAACAUAUACUUUUCUUAGAACAAACCUUUUUAAAAAAAUAUCAUCUUUAUUUAUAACAAAAUCAGGAUUAAUAGUGUCCAAAAAGUUACCAAACUAAUUUUCUAUAUUUUGAUUUUUUUCCAAAGAGGAUUCAUUUUGUAAAAGCUAUAAUGAAACCAUUAGUAAAUAAAUAAUAUAUUAUUUUCCUUAAAUCACCAAUUAUCUUUUCUAGCUUACUUUUAUGAACUCGGCCCUAAGACUCUGACUGUUUACCAAAAACAUUUCUAAAUGCUUCAAAUUUAGUAAGACCUGCUCAAUGAUUUCUUAAAUAGCCGCGAAUAGUGCUAAGGUAGCAUAAUGAUUUGCCUGCUAAUUACAGGAUAGAAUGAAUGGUCCAACACGAGACUUUCUUUAUUAAAAUGACUUAUUUAACUUUUCAUGAAAGUAAAAAGACUUUCAUAACUAAAGGGGACGACAAGACCCUAUCGAACUUUACUUUAAGUUUAGCUGGGGCGGCAAAAAACUUUAUCUUUUUAUUCAUUUUCAUCUAAUCCUUAAUUAUGAAUUAUUAAGUUACCGUAGGGAUAACAGCAUAAUUUACUUCUAGAGACCUUAUCCAAAAGUAAGAUUGUGACCUCGAUGUUGAAUUAAAAUUCUCCUUGGAGCAGCCUCUAAGCAUAGAAAGUCUGUUCGACUUUUAAUUAUUUACAUGAUUUGAGUUCAGACCGGCGUAAGCCAGGUCGGUUUCUAUCUCUUUUCACUAAAUUUCAGUACGAAAGGACCAUUUUUAGAGCCAUUUGCU